AACGUAGGACGCAAGCGUUAUCCGGAAUUACUGGGCGUAAAGCGCGUGUAGGUGGUUUUAUAAGUCACUGUUGAAAGCUCCCGGCUAAACUGGGAGAGGUGCGGUGAGACUGUAGAGCUAGAGUUUGGGAGAGGGGUGCGGAAUUCCGGGUGUAGUGGUGAAAUGCGUAGAGAUCCGGAGGAACACCAGAGGCGAAGGCGAUCACCUGGGGUUGUUCUGACGCUGAGGAGCGAAAGCUAGGGGAGCAAACGGG
rnacentral:rRNA from 1 species